GUUUAAUUUCCAAAUUUGUUUAAAUUUAAAUUUAAAUGUCUGUUACAACAGUCAUUACAACAUUAAAGAAUAUUCAAAUUGAACAUUUGGUGUGGCGCCAGCCGUCACUCAGCGCCUAUGAGGAUCAACUGUGCAAAGCAAUAGAAACCAUUUUGGAACUUUUGGAAAAAGGCAUACUAGAACAACUAGUACUAACCGCCUAAGUGGACUUAUUUGUGUUUUUUUUGUGCAUUUUCUGAAUUUUCAGUUGUUUUCCAAAGUUUGCGGCAGAAAUUUUGUUGUCACUUUCUUGGUUCUUGGCGCCAGAAAUCAGCUGAUAGUGUUACCAUCCAUCCAUCGGUGAUUUUCACAGCGCUGCCAGACUGGUGGAUAAAGACGGAGUUGUUAAACAGGUCGGCAUGACCAAUGGAGAAGCUAAAUAAAGCUGUGCAACGACAAUGUCCUGAUUAUCUGCGUUCCGUGCCGAGGGCGCGCAUCUUGUGGAAGGGGGGGUGGAGCAGCCGUGUUCCCUGGUCCUGGUCGAGCUCCAUGCGUCGCACUCCGACGCACAUCCGACCAGGAAACGAUACGCCUCUACUGGAUAGCAACAAGCGUCAGAUACUAAUUGGCAGCAAGACUAUAUGUACUGGAGCACCGAGAGCGUCUUGGCCAACUCUGGACAGUGGACAGCCCUUCGACAUUGCCAUAGCAUAGCCAUUGACCUAGACAACGGGGAGGGUGUGGAAACAGCGGCUCCAGUGUCGUGGAAUAAUGCCACGAAGAAGUCCUUCUUCGUAUAUCAGCCUCCUGGCGCUGUGACGGCGAAAAGAACUGCCCGGCGGAUGAAAAAAUUAAAUGUACUAAUUAUUAAGACGCUUCUAAUGUAAUCUAAGAACAUACAUAUGUAGAUGUUUUAUAGAAA
rnacentral:sRNA from 1 species